rnacentral:rRNA from 1 species
GGGGGGGGGGGGGGGGGGGGGGGAGGCGGGGGAGGAGGGGGGUGGGGGGGGGGGGGUGGUGGUGGUGGGGGAGUGGCGAACGGGUGAGUGAGGCGUGGGGAACGUGCCUUGUAGCGGUGGCGAACGGAUGGAAACGGUAGCUAAUACCGCAUAACAGUGGAUGAGCCAGGUCGUUUAUUUGAGAGGUGCAAUUGCUCCACUACACGAUGUACAGGCUUUGUAUUAGCUAGUAGGUGAGGUAAUGGCUCACCUAGUCGACGAUACAUAGUCGACCUGAGAGGGUGAUCGGCCACACUGGGACUGAGACACGGCCCAGACUCCUACGGGAGGCAGCAGUAGGGAAUCUUCGGCAAUGGGGGCAACCCUGACCGAGCAACGCCGCGUGAGUGAAGAAGGUUUUCGGAUCGUAAAGCUCUGUUGUAAGUCAAGAACGGGUGUGAGAGUGGAAAGUUCACACUGUGACGGUAGCUGACCAGAAAGGGACGGCUAACUACGUG